UGUAAUUAAAUGUAUGAUGCAUAUUGAAUUUUGAUUUCAAAAGGUAAGUUUGAUUCUUAAAUUUACAA
rnacentral:tRNA from 2 species